CCAAACUUGGUCAUUUAGAGGAAGUAAAAGUCGUAACAAGGUUUCCGUAGGUGAACCUGCGGAAGGAUCAUUAACGGUUUUCGGGUGCCUCGCGCCCAAACCCCAACCCUUGUGAUUUGAUAUCGCCCCGUUUCUUUGCCGGUCUCGGCCGGCAGAAGUUUUCUCAAACCCGUUGUAAUCAUGUCGUCUGAAUGUGAAGAUUGAAUAAAUCAAAACUUUCAACAACGGAUCUCUUGGUUCUGGCAUCGAUGAAGAACGCAGC
rnacentral:misc_RNA from 1 species